GUAGGCAUAGUUUAAUAAAAACAUUAGAUUGUGAUUCUAAAAAUAGGAGUUAGACCCCCCUUGCCCACC
rnacentral:tRNA from 1 species